UACGGGGGGGCAAGCGUUGUUCGGAAUUACUGGGCGUAAAGGGCUCGUAGGCGGCCAACUAAGUCAGACGUGAAAUCCCUCGGCUUAACCGGGGAACUGCGUCUGAUACUGGAUGGCUUGAGUUUGGGAGAGGGACGCGGAAUUCCAGGUGUAGCGGUGAAAUGCGUAGAUAUCUGGAGGAACACCGGUGGCGAAGGCGGCGUCCUGGACCAACACUGACACUGAGGAGCGGAAAGCCAAGGGGAGCAAACGGG
rnacentral:rRNA from 1 species